AUGAUUAUUUGCGAUUUUUUUUUAAAACAUAGUUAUUCCAAAAAAAAAUUCUCAAACUCCUUGUUCUCAAACUACCACCUUCUCUCUUUGGUUCCCCUUUUCUUUUAUAGUAAUAACAAAUGUGAAACAAAAACAACACAACAUCGAUUCUUUCCCUUUUGCAAACCAUUCCAGACAACCAAAAUGUAUAGAUUCGAACCAUACAUUAGAAAACGCAACAAAAGAGGAUAUAAAGAAAGAACAUGUCUUCGGCGCGGAUUCGGUAGCUGCGAUUUGACUGUGUGA